UAGGGAAUAUUGGACAAUGGGUGCAAGCCUGAUCCAGCCAUGCCGCGUGCAGGAAGAAAGCCUUCUGGGUUGUAAACUGCUUUUGCCAGGGGAUAAAAACACUUUGCGAAGUGGAUUGAAGGUACCUGGUGAAUAAGCCACGGCUAACUACGUGCCAGCAGCCGCGGUAAUACGUAGGUGGCAAGCGUUGUCCGGAUUUAUUGGGUUUAAAGGGUGCGUAGGCGGUUCAUUAAGUCAGUGGUGAAAUACGGCAGCUUAACUGUCGAGGUGCCAAUGAUACUGGUGAACUUGAGUACUGAUGAGGUAGGCGGAAUGGACGGUGUAGCGGUGAAAUGCUUAGAGAUCGUCCAGAACACCGAUAGCGAAGGCAGCUUACUAAGGAGUAACUGACGCUGAGGCACGAAAGUGUGGGGAUCAAACAGG
rnacentral:rRNA from 1 species